UUGAACGCUGGCGGCAGGCCUAACACAUGCAAGUCGAACGGUAACAGGAAGCAGCUUGCUGCUUCGCUGACGAGUGGCGGACGGGUGAGUAAUGUCUGGGAAACUGCCUGAUGGAGGGGGAUAACUACUGGAAACGGUAGCUAAUACCGCAUAACGUCGCAAGACCAAAGAGGGGGACCUUCGGGCCUCUUGCCAUCGGAUGUGCCCAGAUGGGAUUAGCUAGUAGGUGGGGUAACGGCUCACCUAGGCGACGAUCCCUAGCUGGUCUGAGAGGAUGACCAGCCACACUGGAACUGAGACACGGUCCAGACUCCUACGGGAGGCAGCAGUGGGGAAUAUUGCACAAUGGGCGCAAGCCUGAUGCAGCCAUGCCGCGUGUAUGAAGAAGGCCUUCGGGUUGUAAAGUACUUUCAGCGGGGAGGAAGGUGUUGAGGUUAAUAACCUCAGCAAUUGACGUUACCCGCAGAAGAAGCACCGGCUAACUCCGUGCCAGCAGCCGCGGUAAUACGGAGGGUGCAAGCGUUAAUCGGAAUUACUGGGCGUAAAGCGCACGCAGGCGGUCUGUCAAGUCGGAUGUGAAAUCCCCGGGCUCAACCUGGGAACUGCAUUCGAAACUGGCAGGCUAGAGUCUUGUAGAGGGGGGUAGAAUUCCAGGUGUAGCGGUGAAAUGCGUAGAGAUCUGGAGGAAUACCGGUGGCGAAGGCGGCCCCCUGGACAAAGACUGACGCUCAGGUGCGAAAGCGUGGGGAGCAAACAGGAUUAGAUACCCCUGGUAGUCCACGCCGUAAACGAUGUCGACUUGGAGGUUGUGCCCUUGAGGCGUGGCUUCCGGAGCUAACGCGUUAAGUCGACCGCCUGGGGAGUACGGCCGCAAGGUUAAAACUCAAAUGAAUUGACGGGGGCCCGCACAAGCGGUGGAGCAUGUGGUUUAAUUCGAUGCAACGCGAAGAACCUUACCUACUCUUGACAUCCAGAGAACUUUCCAGAGAUGGAUUGGUGCCUUCGGGAACUCUGAGACAGGUGCUGCAUGGCUGUCGUCAGCUCGUGUUGUGAAAUGUUGGGUUAAGUCCCGCAACGAGCGCAACCCUUAUCCUUUGUUGCCAGCGGUUAGGCCGGGAACUCAAAGGAGACUGCCAGUGAUAAACUGGAGGAAGGUGGGGAUGACGUCAAGUCAUCAUGGCCCUUACGAGUAGGGCUACACACGUGCUACAAUGGCGCAUACAAAGAGAAGCGACCUCGCGAGAGCAAGCGGACCUCAUAAAGUGCGUCGUAGUCCGGAUUGGAGUCUGCAACUCGACUCCAUGAAGUCGGAAUCGCUAGUAAUCGUGGAUCAGAAUGCCACGGUGAAUACGUUCCCGGGCCUUGUACACACCG
rnacentral:rRNA from 1 species